GGGUGUAGCAGUUUCCUGCGGCAGUGGCUGCUGUCCCAAAUAGUCCUGAACGAUUAGGAGGUGUGCCGCACCCUCUGGCGCCGUCCCCUCUGACCCUGCCGGCGACAGGCCCGGCUCCCCGGGUGAGUCGCUGCGGGGCCGCGAUGCACAGGAAACCCCCCCGCGGCCUCCCAAGCCCGGUGCAUCAUCCCCCCCCCCCCCCACAGGAGGAGAAACUGAGGCCCGAGGGGACGGGGAGAGCCGGCGGAGGUCAGCCCCGAUUUCAGGCCCCGCUCCUGGGUCCGGGCCCAGCCCCUCCGCAGGCUGCGGACCUCUCGGGAUGCGUGUCCCCGAGAAUGGGACUCCGGGUCUGAUCCCCCGCUCGCGGGGAAGACUCGUGUCCCGCCAACUACCAGAAGCGGGUCCGGCGACGCGCGGGCCGAGUGCCGCCGCCAGUGGUGCGGAGCCCCGUGUGGCCCCGGGCCUGAAGAGCUCCCGGGGCCGCGUGAUUUUCACGCACACACCCACCUCCGGCUCUGGGCCUCGAAUCCCCCAAAGCGCUUCAUCGGUUGCCCACGAAGUGACCAUGUGAGCGUUAACCCGUUUUCUUGUCAACAGCCUUUAAGAGAAAGCGUUAAAACCCCCGUUGUGCAGAGCGGUUGCGUGAGUUUUCAAUUGGGGGCGCUCGCGGGGCCCCAGAGCGGCAGAGACCGAUUCCGGUGUCUUUGUUUUGCAGUAAAGCCCCUUCCCCGUGCUGUCUCCUGCGUAGGCGUUGCGGGCUCUGGGGCUCUGUUGGAAGCAGAUGGAAACUCUCCGUUGGACGGCUUUGGGGGCUGUGCGUCAGGCAGCGCCCCCUUCUUUGCUGCAGGACCCUGAGCCGCAGCGCCGGAUGUGCCCCCGCGGUGUCCAGGGGGUGAGGCCUGGAUGAGCCCACUGUGUGGAGAGACAUCAUGGGAGUUCUAUCAGGAACAUUCUAGACCCCAGUGUCCUUGAGGGAUGCUGCCUCGGAUCUAGAGAUUGUUGGAAGAAUCCUUAAGGAGAUGCAGCAUUGGUCCUCUCAGGAUGACCUGGGUCCCAGCUGCCCUGGAGGGACCUCCUCAUGAUUAUUUCGGAGUUGAUCAUGGACACUGGCAGAGUGAAGAAUGAUGUCGCCACGUGAACCAUGGCCAGACCUUCUUAUCCUGUUGCCUCAGCACAGCCUGGAGGGACUUUUCUCUCUGCGUGAGCAGGCCAGAGGGAAAGUCCUGGGACCCUGGAGACUUGAGGUCCAGAGCUAGAGACUUCAGCUGGCCCUGCCGCUCCCCCAGCAGGUGUCACACAGCACCUGGGACCAGGAAGACUGGUUCCCUUCCACCUGAGCCAGGUGUCCAGCAGGCUCCACGUGCCCCUGCCUAUUCCUCCUGUAACUUUUUACAACCAAGAAUUUUCUGCACUGUGCAUCCUUGUCCCCUCACCCACCCAAUAAAUCUUGAAACUGCC